AUGAACGCUGGCGGCGUGCCUAAUACAUGCAAGUCGCGCGAACAGACGAGGAGCUUGCUCCUCUGACGUUAGCGGCGGACGGGUGAGUAACACGUGGAUAACCUACCUAUAAGACUGGGAUAACUUCGGGAAACCGGAGCUAAUACCGGAUAAUAUAUUGAACCGCAUGGUUCAAUAGUGAAAGACGGUUUUGCUGUCACUUAUAGAUGGAUCCGCGCCGCAUUAGCUAGUUGGUAAGGUAACGGCUUACCAAGGCAACGAUGCGUAGCCGACCUGAGAGGGUGAUCGGCCACACUGGAACUGAGACACGGUCCAGACUCCUACGGGAGGCAGCAGUAGGGAAUCUUCCGCAAUGGGCGAAAGCCUGACGGAGCAACGCCGCGUGAGUGAUGAAGGUCUUCGGAUCGUAAAACUCUGUUAUAAGGGAAGAACAAAUGUGUAAGUAACUAUGCACGUCUUGACGGUACCUAAUCAGAAAGCCACGGCUAACUACGUG
rnacentral:rRNA from 1 species